rnacentral:pre_miRNA from 1 species
AUUCAAUAAAACACAGAGAGUGCGACACCGUUCAGAUGUUUUUGUCUCCAGUACAAUGUGAUUGUACCGGGAUAUGGAACGUCUGAAUGGGGUCGUACGUUACCCAGACG